AUUUUGGACAAAAUUAAGCUUCCAAAAAACAUUUGUUCAGUUGGGUUUAAUUGUGCACCUCAGGAUGCCUCCCUCCUAAGGAUUUUGUCUCUCCUCAGGGUUUUGCAGUGCCCUGACUGAAGUGUCAGGCAUUUCUCUCUCUCCCCUUCCUAGGAUCUUUCACUUCUCCUGUGCCCACUGUAUUUCCUAGCAAUAGUUCUGUUUCCCAUCCUGGGAACUCUGAAUCUCAGGGAAUCCAGGAACACCAGACAGCUUCGUGGCUUUGGGAGGAUCAGCUCUUUGACAUUCUGUUGUGUCUCUUUUCAGAAACAAAGCUCCAAAUUUGGAAGCAGCAGUGAAACUCCACAGAUUACUGAGGGCAAAAUUGCUGGGUCAUAUGCAGUGAAAAGAAAGAAAAAAAGACUAAGCCAGGAAACCUCUUGAAGGCCCAGAGAAGUAGGCACGUAUAUAAGAUGCCCAGACUGGAGCUGCCACAUAGGAGACACUUGGUGAGCUCUCAAGGAAGAUUGGAUGUCUAUGGAGAAUCCACGUACCUAUAUCAUAUUAGUUGGAGCAAAACACAGACUCUGGGAUGAAAGGCAAAAGUGUUAUAAUGAGGCCAAUGGAAUGUGCUGAAUCCGUUCCUCAAAGAAAAACAAAACCAAAUAUCUCUCCAAGUCUGGAUUAUACCAGAGUUUCCAAAUCAUAAACAACCAAUGAAAAAGGGAUCAUAUCAUUAUGCGUUUCUACAAGGCCUUACUGAGGUAAGAUGAUGGAAUAAUGAUGACUGCGUUUUUUGGAGGAAGCUUAUCGUGCCCUGUGAGAGAGUUUAAAUGUGUAUUUAGUGUUUGAAAGACUUCCCACAUAUGAGAGAGACACUCAACAAAAAGUAAUUGUGUCUUGAAUAAUUUUUACACCACCGACAGAGACAAAAAAUGACCAUCUAUUUAUAUUUCUAAGAAUUAUUCUUUUUCAUUGUGUUCAUAAAAUGUGGUUUCUUGAAUGUCUAGAAGAAAUGUCAUCCCUAAAUAUUUAAUAAUAUUGGGUUUCCAACUUGAAAAGAAGAAAAAAUUGAAAGAAAAAGAGAAUACUUUCAGUGGCAAUUAUUUGAAUUUUUGAUGCCUGCUUCCUUUUCCAAAGACAGUAAUUGCUUCUUAACAAAUUAAUCUGGCUGUAUAUAUUCAGCUUUCUGGUUAGCCUUUGCCAUUUUCAUCUGGUGAUGUCCCUUUUAUAAAAUUUAUGGGGCUCAUUUUAUAAAAUUGUGGAGAUUUGCUUAGUAUGUUUGGAAUUGGUAUGUCUUUCUCUCUCUAGCUCUGCUCUCGGAAUAGCUCUAACCCCCCCAAAAGGGCAAGAACCGGUUUUAAUAAUGCAGAAUUAUGCCUCUUUACUAACUACUGAAUACGCUUUAUUUCGGAUGCCAAACCAGGUACUCAGAAGUUUAACAUCAUAAAUCUUAAAAUCAUAAAUCAGACAAGGUAACUUUCUAGUAUAUGUUUCAUGAUGAAAGGUAAAAUACUAAUGGUGCUAUAUAAACAUGACAUUCUCUAAAUUGAAUAUAGUGUGCAAUUUUCAUGGCUUUGUUUUAAAAUUUAAUGCUUGAGAAUAAUCAUUUUAUUUAUUGGGCCUCUAAACUAAGUGCAUUUAGGCAGUGAAGAAAGUUGUUUGGUACCAGGUAAAUGAGCAGGUUUCUUUCUUCACUGGAAGACAAACUUCUGAAUUACUGAUAGGCAUUUCAGUCUUAACAAAAGCUACACUUACAAUUUUCUGAACAAUUGUUGUGAGAUUUCACACAUUGAUCAAAACACUGAUUCAAAAUACUCUCAUUGUAAUUGGUUUGUGGCCCUUUUGUACCUUUUUGCUGCUACUGGACCAUUGCUGGCCACUGGACCAAUGUCAAGUCAUGUUUUGGUGUCUUCUCUUUGGAGAAAUCAAACCACUCCAUGAACAUUGACACCUACAUGGCCUUUUUCAACAAGUUAGCCAUUGGUUCACAACCAAUUCUGGUUCUUGCUCUAAUAUUAAUUAUUUUGUGUUACUGAUCAAGUUGAUUAACUGCUCAGGGCUCUAGUUUUCUUAUUUAUAAAAUGCAGGGGUCUGAUGGUGUUUUCUAAAAUCCUUUCCAGCUCUGAAAUGCUAUCACUUUAUAGGAUCAAAUGAAAUAAUAUUAAGUACUGUCUGAACACAGAGGCUAAUAAUGUAGAUGAAGCUGAUAAAAGGAGGGAAAAGGGUUGAAAGUUUUCACCUAUUUAGCCACAGAAUUAUUAAUUAUGCCAGGAUUUCAAAUAUUCUCUGCUAAGAGGAAGGAGUGCCAGGGAAUGAUCUUUAAUAACAUGGUUCUACAAUGCUACUCAUUUUCUAUAAUAUAUAUUUAAGAUUGAUAUUGCUAUUUCUGGCACCU
rnacentral:lncRNA from 1 species